GGGCGGCCGGCGCGGGGAGCUGCACAAGGCCGCGCUCUCACCUAGUCCGGUCGGCCCACAGAUUCUAUUUAAAGAUUCUGCUGCCUGAGCCAGCAGAAACAGCUGAGAAUAGUGAAGUUGAGGCUGGGAUUCCGGAGAGAAAGUCUAAACUUUUCUAGGUUUUACAAGGCUCUGAAAGGAGCCCCUCCCCUGGGUCUGGACAAGAAGAGCUUGGUAACAGCAUGGUGAGAGGAAAUGCACAAGGAUGUGAUUAGAAAUAAAAGGGUAAAGAGCAGCCUGGGUGGCUCAGCGGUUUAGCGCCGCCUUCAGCCCAAGGUGUGAUCCUGGAGACCCGGGAUGGAGUCCCACAUCGGGCUCCCUGCAUGGAGCCUGCU